GAGUGAACGCUGGCGGUAGGCCUAACACAUGCAAGUCGAACGGCAGCACAGUAAGAGCUUGCUCUUACGGGUGGCGAGUGGCGGACGGGUGAGGAAUACAUCGGAAUCUACUUUUUCGUGGGGGAUAACGUAGGGAAACUUAUGCUAAUACCGCAUACGACCUACGGGUGAAAGCAGGGGAUCUUCGGACCUUGCGCGAUUGAAUGAGCCGAUGUCGGAUUAGCUAGUUGGCGGGGUAAAGGCCCACCAAGGCGACGAUCCGUAGCUGGUCUGAGAGGAUGAUCAGCCACACUGGAACUGAGACACGGUCCAGACUCCUACGGGAGGCAGCAGUGGGGAAUAUUGGACAAUGGGCGCAAGCCUGAUCCAGCCAUACCGCGUGGGUGAAGAAGGCCUUCGGGUUGUAAAGCCCUUUUGUUGGGAAAGAAAAGCAGCAGGUUAAUACCCCGCUGUUCUGACGGUACCCAAAGAAUAAGCACCGGCUAACUUCGUG
rnacentral:rRNA from 1 species